rnacentral:misc_RNA from 1 species
CGCACAUUGCGCCCCCUGGUACUCCGGGGGGCAUGCCUGUCCGAGCGUCAUUGCAACCUUCAAGCGCAGCUUGGUAUUGGGCCUUCGCCUCCCGCGGGGCGUGCCCGAAAAGCAGUGGGUCCCCGGCGUGACUUUGGGCGUAGUAAAUUCUCUCCCGCCUUGAAAGUGACGCCGUGGUGGCCCAGACAACCCCCCAUCUCCAACGAUUGACCUCGGAUCAGGUAGGGAUACCCGCUGAACUUAA